GAAGGGAGGCGAGGCGAGGCUGUGGGGCGGGCGCGCGGGCGGGCACGUGGGGAUCUUUAGUCUCCGGCGUCUGGGCACUGGGUGCCAGCUGCCACUCGGGCCCAGGCCUAGGGCUGGCGGCUGGAGAGGAGAAAGAUUGAUCCACUCCACUCCGCCACUGGAGUCGCGGCUUUGCUCGCGGUUUUUACGUAGUGGUAGAAACGUGGCCCUGAAAAGAAUGGCGUCCAUUUACAUAAUGCUUUGUUUGCAUUUUGCAAGUUUAUUUCGGAAAACCCGCAGAAACCCCACCUCCUACCCUAGUGGUGGUUUAGUCAUGGCAGCUUACAGGCAUUUAAAACAAUAGUGUUCCUUUUGUAGACCGCAUUCACUCAGGGGUUACCGACUAGUGCUUUGGGGAGCUCCUGUGUCACUCCCCGCACGGCUUGCGCUUCGCAAGGCUUUGCGGUCCUUGCCUCCCUUGGUGCUGCCGCCGUGUUCUGCACUUUCCGGGGGUGGCCCCUGACGGGCCGCCAUUUUGGGAAGCCUUUCCUGCUGUUGGUGCAACUGCACAUUUUCCUUGCUAAAGGAGAAAGAUUGCUCUGGUUGCUGGUGUACUACUUGUGAUUCCCCCCUUUCCCCUACCCUUCAGUUAAGCCAGACAGAAAAGGCCUUGUGCACAACGUGUUUGAGACUCCCUCAGGGAAAGCGACCAACGUGGCGGUCCCUUUGCCCCCCCCCCCCUUCUUCACGGGGGUAGCCGCCAUGUUUCCUUAACACAAAAUGGCGGCACGUGGCCCGGGGUUGCCGCCAACGAGAAAUUGGGGUGGGCAAGAAUGCUCUAGAAGGCGUUCUCGUCAUUCUGCCAUCCCCCGUGCCUGUCGGCCAGGGACCUUCCCAGCGCAGCGAGUCUUCUGAGCACUCCGAUAACAAUUCCCACAGCGUGGUCCAAAACCUGGGAGAAGGGAGGGAGCGAUUUUUAAUUCCUUUCUUACUAAUUUGAACCACGAACAUGAACUGUAAAAUGUAGGCAUGAUACCGUGUCUCUUGCUCUCUUUAAAUUUAAUGCAUAGCGAGGGCCGGUACCAAUAGGUAACUUGGACCUGCAAUAACAGACAUUUAGCAAUCACUGCCUUAAGGAAUAAGGGGAAAUUACUGCUUCCGUCGUCUUCUAGGACUAGAAAAGUUCAAGAAAUGACAUAUAUAUUUUUAAAAAGUUUCCAUGGAGAGACUAGGAUGCCAAUGGUUUUUUUCAUGGGCAAGCUGGACAGUGAGCCUCAGUUUCUCACAACUGGUGUUCACUUUUAGUCUAGAAGAGACAGACAUUUAUUGUUCAUUUACCGGUACCAGAUCCUAUACUAGACAUUUUACUGCGUACUACCUAAUUUAUAAUGAUCCUCUGAGGUAGGUGGUGUUAUCUUUCUUUCUUUUUUUAACAGACGAGUUCUCUUAGGCCCAGGGAGAUGAAAUGAUUAAUUCAAAGUCACACAGUGUCAAGAAUGGAAUCCAGACCUCCUUAUUUCCUUAUUGAUCUGCACUGUCUUGUGGAUAGGUGAGUGAAUUCCACACCACCCAUUUUAUAGAUGAAGACAGUGAGAUAAUGGAGCAACUGACUAUAAAUAGUCACCGCCCUAUCCUUGGAGUCUCACAUAUGACUCUUCUCCUCCCAACUUGAGUGCCUUCAGGUUGGUUAAGGUGAGACAUGGUCUUGUGACUGAACAGUAGUUGAGCAUGUAACUCUGGAGCCAGCCUGCUGGGUCCUGAAUUCUGACUCAGUCACUUACUAUGUGACCUUAGAGGGAGACAUACACAGAGAAAAGAUGGCCAGAUAAAGAUGGAGGCAGAGAUUUAAUUAUACUGCUACAAACCAUGAAGGGCAAAGAUAACUGUCAGCCAUCAGAAGCUGAAAGAGGCAGGAUGCCAGCCAUCUUCUGAGAGUGAGAGGCAGAGAAAUGAGCUGCUGAGGUGGGUGAGGGGCAAAGAGAAGGGACCUGUGAAGACAAGGCCAACUCUGAAAGAUGGGAGAUGACAACAGCACCAGAACCACGAAAGCUAGAAGCCCCAGCAUGCUGCCUUCAUAGGAGGGGUCACAAUGAAGGAGCCAAGAGUGAGUGCAAGAGCAGGGGACACUGAUGGGAAGCUAAGACACGUCUUGCGAUUGUCCUGAAGCUUUAUUCUCUUGACGCUGGAGCUGGAGUAGCCCUCAUCACUGCCGAGGCUCUGCAUGCUUCCCCGUUCAUCAGAAUCACUCACGCUGCUGCUGCUCCAGUCCAACUCGCCUGUGAGAUAGUCUGUGCUUUCAACAUCCACAUCGAUUUCUUCUGUGGGAGGACAAAAGACAGAGACUGUGGUGAAGGCACUCUUCAGAAAACUCAGGCUGAAAAUCAGAGUGACUCCAGUCAAGCCCUUCUUUGGACACUGGUGUCUAACUGCUAAAAGGAAAGAGGCAGUAGUUACUGAAGGCCACACUACUCAACUUUUCUAAAUCACAAGCAGGUUCUUAGCUCCUUCUCUGUUCUGCCCCUGGCAGGUGGGAGAGAAAAAGGGAGAGGGUGGUUGAGGUUGCAGGGAGAGGGCUCACCCCUGUCGGAAUCUGAGCGCUCUGAGGAGACUGGGGAGCCGAUGCUGUCCAUCCGUAUCCUCUCAAUGCCCAGUUUCUCCAGCUGCCUCUUCAGGUGUCGCUGCUCUCGCUGAAGCUGGUCUAUUUGGUGAAUGGCUUUUCUGUCACAAUCUUCAAGUUUCUGCAAGUCAAAGGGGUAGUUGUUGGAGGCUCACAGGCAGAUUUCAAAAUUAGCAAUGACCCUGCAUCUUCCUCUCUAGCAGUGAAAUCUGCCAAUUUUCUCAGAAGCCAUUUAGUGUGUCACUUGUCCAGCUUCUCACAGAGACAGGAAGUUGACUGGCUAGUGAGUGACUCCUGUCUUCACUAACAUCUUCAGCAUUGACAGUGCUGUAGCUGUGUUGUCAUAGGGAUUCUAGGGAUAAGCUCCGACACUGUAGCAUCCUGGUACCCCUCCAUUUUGAUACUGAAAAGACUGCAAGCAGGAACCCCUAACCUGGUCCCCCUUGUCUGCAGUGACACCCUGAACACCUCAUCUCCGAACUAGAGCACUGCAUGUGGUGGGAGCUUAAGAAACAGACCUUCCCUUAAAUGUGUGUUUAUUCAAGUACAUGUCCCCAUCACAGAAGCACUUUGUGUCAUGCCAAAUCUCAAUUAACUUGUUUGUUAGCAGGAAAUAAUAGUCCCUUUUGAAGUCCUGAUUCCAAAUUGUCCAAAAUAAGAGCUUAGAAAAUACAUUUCCAUAGACCGCUUGUUUUUACAAAUCUGUCUUCUAGCUUCUCAUAUUCUUCAGAUAAUUAAGAAGAUUGUUUAAUUGUGAUUGUUUUGCUCUAAAGAGAGAGUCUCCCCCGCCCCCAGAACUGUCAUGCAUGCAGGCUACUAACCAUAUUUAAAGUGAUAUUUAUACAAUCUUGACUAUAAAAACAAGCUACAGAGUGAUUCGGGCUGUGGUUCUCAAAAGCCUGAAUACAAUUCACUCACUCUUUGCUAUUUCAGCUAUGUGCUAAAGUCACCUCUGUGCCAGACCCUCUGGGAAGUGCUAGGGACACAAGGUGAACACAAAGAACUGGGCCCCUCCCUAUGGAGUCUACAGUCUCAGGAUGGGAACAACCAAACAGUCAUGUAAACCACCAUUGGAUGCCAGCUGUGACAAGUGCUGAAGAGAGAGAGAGACAUCCAAUAUUGGACCACCUGGCAGAGGAAGAAGGUAACCAGGCCAGGGAAGGUUUCCCUGCACUAGUGAUACCUGUGCUGGGAUAUGAAGGAUGAUAAGAGGUUAACUGGGGAAAGAAAGGAGGGGAAGCAUGUACAAAUACCCUGUAGUCAGAGGGCAUGGCAAGUGCUAGGGACUGGAGGAAGGGCUGGGGCAGAGAGGGUAAUGUAAUGGCACAGGAGGCUGCUGCACACAGGUGUGGGCCAGGUCAGGCACAGCAGGGGCAGAGUGUGCCCUGACCACAGCAUUGCAAACAGAGUGACAUGCAGACUUGAGCUCAGGGAGAACUGUUCUUGGGAAGCAUGGGGAUAAGCUCAGAGGGAGGCCUUGAGGGGUUUAUCACAGCAGAUGAUGAUGGGGUGAAAAGGGAAUGAGACAAGGCUGUGAAUUAUUCCCUUGACUCAGAAGAGAAUGAGACAAGGCUGUCUUGGAGACAACUUAAGAUAUAUGGCUAGAAGCAAGAGCUAACAAGGAUGACCCUGAGUUUCUGGCUUAUAUAAUCAGAUGGCAGUAGGAUGGACCACUUAACUUCUGGUGCCUAGGGUAAGAAGUACUCAGAUGGGUCUGGACAUGCUGAGUUUGGGGUACUUGUGAUUCAUCCAAGAGAUAGGAUGGAAGAGCUCAGAGGAGAAGACUGUCCUGCAGAUAUAUAUUUGCUGGCCUUGUAACAAACAAACCCAUACUAGAUAGGUAAAGAUAAAAAGAUAUCUCAAGGACGCACUUACCUUUAUGUGCAAUUUGGCUUUUGUUAAUAAGCUCAAUGUAGUAUGUCGAUUUGAUUCAGGCCCAAGUGGCACUAGCCCCUUCAACUUCUCCAGGCACAGGCGAAGAUGGGCCCGUCUGUGAAAACAAGAUCACAGUAGCAUUUGAGAAUCUCAUGGUGGGCCAGAAGGUACCCCUAAAGAACAAAUUCUAAGAGUAUGAAGUUGCCCAGGCCCAGUGAUGGCAAAUGCCCCCGGUGACCCCUUACCAAAUAUAUAUCUUUUAAAACCAGACAACUCUAGUGAAAACCAGGGAGAAGCAAAAUCCAUGGUUUUAUACAGUUAAAUCUAUUUUUAAUACAUGUGUCAGGAUAGGAACAAAUAUCUAUUAUUAGGCAUGCAAUUAGGAGAUAACCAGGUUAUCUCCAGGUUUCUGGAUAAUGAUGUGACCCAUACAGAACAUUCAAAUUCAGAAAAUUGUGACACGCCGGGUGAGAAUCCUUUGAAGCCAUACUUCUCUUUUCCCAGUUAGGACCACUGAGUCACUAUAACCAUAUCAUUGCUAUACACAUGUAAAUGACAUGUGUGGGGGAGGUAUUCAUGACAGCUUUAUUUGGAACAGCAAAGCCUGAAAUAACCUAAAAGUCUAUCAGUAGGGAACUGAUUAAAUAAAUUGUGGCACAUCUAUACAGUGGAAUACUAUGCAGCUAUAAAAAGAGAAUAAGAAUGUGCUCUAUGUACUAUUAGGAAAGAACCUUCAGAUAUAUCAAGUGAAGAAAAGCAAACUGUGCAUAUAAUAACAUGGAGGAAAACUUAUAUGUGUUUUCUUGUAUUGGACACAAAGUCUAGAAUGAUACAUAAGAAACCAGGAACAGUAGCUGGGUGGGGAGAAGUCAGCGAAUAGUCAGAUUGGGACAAGGAAAGGGGGGUAAUUUGUUUACUGAAUAAUGUAUUAUACUUUUUGGUUUUCCAACCAUGUAAACUACUGCUAUUCAAAAGUUAAAUAUAUUUUUCAAAAAUAAUGAGAAAGUACAUCCUUGUAUUGCUGCACUCACAAGCAUGCUGAGCAGUUGGAGAUAACCAGGUGUAUCUUGUUGAGUGGCGGACUAGAGCCAUGGGACAGAGUGUGAGAGGGAGAAAGGCUGUGUGAGACAAAAGCCACGGUCAACACACUAAACAGAGAGCCUUCAGUCACAGACUGACCAGAAGUAUAAAAGUUCCUAAAUUUUUGGAAAUCAACACUUCACUGAAAUCUUGUUUUGGGCAUUAUUCUAAAACCUGUGAGAUUCUAUGAAUGUGAGAAAUGGCCAAGAUUCAGAGUUUUUUCUUCAGCCCACUACUUCCUUAAAGCCUUCAUAGGCCAUUCCAGCCCAAAGAAAUUCCUUUCUAAGAAAAAAAAAAUUUUUUUAAUUGGUGAGAGAGAGAGAGAUACCAAAUUGUUGUUCCACUUAUUUAUGCAUUCAUUGGCUGAUUCUUGUAUGUGUCCUGACUGGGGAUCAAACCCACAACCUUGGUGUAUUGGAGACGAUGCUCCAACCAACUGAGCUAACCAGCCAGGAAGCAAUUCCAUUUUCUGAGUACUUAUUUGUUCAUAUUAUUCAUUGGAAAGUUCACUGUUCUGCCUGAAUUUUUGGGCAUUGUUACUUAAGCACUCAUUGCAAAAAUUCCUUAGAAAGUUGGGACUGUGGCUUAAUCACUGAUGUUCUGCCACAGUGCCUCCUCCUCCCACAUGCUUAUUAAUAAAUGUUUGCUGAGUGGAUUAUGCCAUCUAGUCAACUAGACUUUAAGCUCCUCGAGGACAGAGUCCAUCUCUACUACAUCUUUACACCUUCAGCAGUGCUCAGGAUCCUGGAGUUUUAGACACAUGGCCACUGCCCACACACAACGACCUGAGCAGAGCCCCUAGGAGCCUGGGAGGCUAUCCUCAGCUGAACUUGAAGAAAACCUUUAAAAUUAGUUUUUCCCUCUUAAAAAUUUUACUGUAUUAACAAAAGUUGGGAAUACAGACCAAAAGAAGAAAAUUGCUUCAGAAAGCUCUACAGCAGGUCAAUGUGCAUGGUACUGACCAAGGAAGUCAACUCACACCUUUCAGAUCAAGACUUCAGACGCUGCCCCGCAAGGCAGAUAUAACAAGUGGUACAUUAGACAUACUUUGAGCCCCUGCCUCAUUUGCUUCUGAGCCUUCUUCCUAUGGAUCUUGAAGGAGCUGUCCUAGAUAUUCCAAGGGCCCCCCUAUGUCUUGACAAGCUCAAGAAGAACAGCAUUCAUUCCUGAACUAGGAAGAUUUAAUGGGACAAAUGUCUUACUACAACAUAAGACUUCUACUUGCUCUGAAAACCUAUCCAUGUGUUCUGGUCACAAGCAGAGACUCACAUUAGGUGUUUGUUCCUUCCACUACUGCAUUGGUCGGGGGGGGGGUGGCAAGGGGUGGGUGGGGAAAAGCAGAACCUAUGUGUAAAAUGUACUUGCUCAUUGUGGAUAAUAACAUUCUUCCAAAAGAGCAGUGAAAAUAGACGUUACUCGAAAUGCCAUUGGAAACUAUAAUCAGUCACUUAUACAGUUAUCCAACUUAUUCCUUACUACUUAAUAUAAAGUUUACAGACUAAUCGUUGAGUUAGGAAAAAAAGCUCAAAAAUUAAAAUUUGAACAUUUUUAGUCUGCUUGUUAUUUACAAAGACUGCAUGAUUCAGAACAGUGUCAUAAUUAGUCUUUUUAUGAUGUGGGUUUAUCUACAGAUAUGAGUAUGUAAAUUUUUAAGGAAGUUUGUCUACUGAUAAAAGUAUAAUAAAGUCAUCUGUCCAUGCAUCGUCAUUUCUAGUUACAUAGGGAGCCUAGCCCAGAAAGUAUGAUUUUCACUACCCAAAUGUGGGUUUCUGAGGAACACUCCCAGUUGUGAAACUAGAAAUAGGCAAUUUGACUAAUUUGAGCUGAGGACAAUACAUGUUUGUUCAGUGUUUUGUGGCCUCGUUUUAUGAAAAUAGGACCAAAAUGCUCUCUGGAUUUUGUAGAGAUCCAGAGCCAGCUUCUGGCUGUGGCAGUGCCUGCCUUCACCUCUUCCAGCACCUCACUCCUGCAGCCUGAUGGCUGCCCUGCCCACCUGCCACCUGCCUGCAGACACAGCCCCAGUUGGUGCCUGGACCACACGUAGGACAGGAACGAGGCUCUAGGCUAGAGGAAGAAUUAUCCAGACCUUAGAAGACCAAAUUCCAAAAAAGAAAGGACAAUAAGGAAACUAGAUGAGUAACCCUUCAAUGAGCAGAAGUUGACCAGUCAUACAGAAGCAGUCUAAAUUAUAAGCAGCUUGCCCAGUGGUGACUUCAAGUCCAGUUUUCUAGACCCUUUGCCUCCACAGCCACCUGUAGAUACCUUAAUCUUAGGACUCAGUAUAUUAA